AUUAGAUACCCUGGUAGUCCACGCAGUAAACGAUGAAUACUAGCUGUCCGGGGCGAAUGAGCCCUGGGUGGCACAGCGAAAGCGUUAAGUAUUCCACCUGGGGAGUACGCCGGCAACGGUGAAACUCAAAGGAAUUGACGGGGGCCCGCACAAGCGGAGGAACAUGUGGUUUAAUUCGAUGAUACGCGAGGAACCUUACCCGGGCUCAAACGACACAGGAACGGUCCUGAAAGGGGUCGGCUCUACGGAGCCUGUGUCGAGGUGCUGCAUGGUUGUCGUCAGCUCGUGCCGUGAGGUGUCGGCUUAAGUGCCAUAACGAGCGCAACCCCCAUCGACAGUUGCUAACAGGUCAAGCUGAGGACUCUGUCGAGACUGCCGGCGCAAGCUGCGAGGAAGGCGGGGAUGACGUCAAAUCAGCACGGCCCUUACGUCCGGGGCGACACACGUGUUACAAUGGCAGGUACAGCGGGAAGCCACCUGGCGACAGGGAGCGGAACCCGAAAGCCUGUCUCAGUUCGGAUUGGAGUCUGCAACCCGACUCCAUGAAGCUGGAUUCGCUAGUAAUCGCGCAUCAGCCACGGCGCGGUGAAUACGUUCCCGGGCCUUGUACACACCGCCCGUCAAGCCAUGGAAGCCGGGGGUGCCUGAAGUGCGCUGCCGCAAGGAGCGUCCUAGGGUAAAACCGGUGACUGGGGCUAAGUCGUAACAAGGUAAC
rnacentral:rRNA from 1 species